rnacentral:rRNA from 1 species
UACGUAGGGGGCUAGCGUUGUCCGGAUUCAUUGGGCGUAAAGGGUGUGUAGGUGGCGCGCUAAGUCGGGUGUGAAAUUUCGGAGCUUAACUCCGAAACUGCAUUCGAUACUGGCGUGCUUGAGGACUGGAGAGGAGACUGGAAUUCCUGGUGUAGCGGUGAAAUGCGCAGAUAUCAGGAGGAACACCGAUGGCGAAGGCAGGUCUCUGGGCCAUAACUGACGCUGAGAAGCGAAAGCAUGGGGAGCGAACAGG